rnacentral:rRNA from 1 species
UUAGAAUGUAAAUAAAUUUAUUAUAGUAGUAUUAGUUAAGGUCUUGAAAUUUAAAAAUUUUGGCGGUAUUUUAGUCUAUUCAGAGGAAUCUGUUCUGUAAUUGAUAGUCCACGAUAAAUUAUACUUAAUUUAAAAAUUUGUAUAUCAUCGUUAUUAAAUAUUUUAUAAGAAUUUAAAUGUUUAAGAUUUUAUAUUAAAAAGUAUAUCAGAUCAAGGUGCAGUUUAUAUUUAAGAAGAAAUGGAUUACAAUAAAUUUAUUUAUGAUGGAUUUAUAUAUGAAAAUAUGUAAUGAAAGUGGAUUUGAUAGUAAUAAAAUUUAUAUAAAUUUUAUGAUUUAAGCUCUAAAAUGUGU